AUGGUCAUCGGGCACGUGAGUGCCGCAAUGCCUGGCGUCCCCUCAGCUUUUUGGGAAGUCCUACUCUGUCACCAUUGCCUCGCCUCCCAGUCCAGCAGCAACAAGCUCCAGCUCCUCACAAGCACCAGAAAGAAGCCUCGUCCCUCUCGGAAGACGUUUGGUCGUGAUUCUUGGGCAUCAAUCGUUGCUUCUCCUGUUGGCUCCGUGUCCUCGGCGGAUAUCCCAGUGCGGCCUGCCUUGGAGAGGCAGGCCGAGUUGCUGCGCUCUGAGCUCCUUGGUAUGGCUUCCUUCCGGGUUGAGGAGACGGUCCAGCCUCUGCGUGAUGUCAUUGACUCCAUGCAAGGUUGGAUGUUGCGGAUGGAGAGCUUCAUUAUGCGAGCUGAGGCUACACUGGGCGCGCUCUCGCUAGCACCGCCUGUGUUGCAGAACGCUCAUGUGUUGCGCCCUCUGGUUGUGCCUGAUGACAGCUUCGAGAUCGAGAGGGGAGUUGAGCUUCAUGGUCGUUUCUCCCCUCGUUCUAGAACCAACUCGCCGUCGUCAACCUCUGGGGGAUUGGGCAAUGAUGUGGUUGUGACUCCGGUCCUGCAGAUCAUGCCUGAGCUUCGAGACCUGUGUGGGGGUCCGGUUCUACCUCGGUCCGUCGAACAACUGAAGGUAGACACCCCUGAGGUCUCGAUUGUGGCUUUACCGCCAGCAUCACCCCGGGAGUCUAGCCAGAAACUUGAUGCCGAGGAGUGUGGUGAUUUAGACCUUGCAAUCUCUUGCUCGUCGUCCAUUGGGUGUCAGGCGUCAGCCAGUCUACCUCUCGGUGUCAUGGAGCGCGGAGUUUUGGAUGUUGCUACCCUUCCCUCAUCCGCGACCAUUGAGCAGGUGAUGCCUGUUGACAUGACCAUUGAGGCAAGUGUGUUGGCACCUACUCCAAAGCCAGAUGCUCUCUUCGCGAAGGAACUUUGUGAUUUGCUCGCUAGUGCGGAGGUUGCUAGACCUGGUUUGGGCAGGUCGAUUGCUUGCCUCUUGACGGGGACACCAAUAAGGGGUAAACAAAAGAAGGCGGGCAAAGAAAAGAGUGGCGCCACAAGCAAGGCGUCUCUGGGUGCUCGAUGGAUGACCUACUCUCUCUCAGCAUGUCCUCUUGGAUUGGGUUAUCAUUGUGGGUUGAAAGGUGUUUGA
rnacentral:rRNA from 1 species